rnacentral:tRNA from 1 species
GGCGGUAUAGCUCAAUUGGUAGAGCACGUGCUUAGCAUGCAUUGGGUCCUGGGUUCAGUCCCCAGUGCUUCCA